AAAGCGCACGUAGGCGGUCUUUUAAGUCAGGGGUGAAAUCCUGGAGCUCAACUCCAGAACUGCCUUUGAUACUGGGAGACUUGAGUCCGGGAGAGGUGAGUGGAACUGCGAGUGUAGAGGUGAAAUUCGUAGAUAUUCGCAAGAACACCAGUGGCGAAGGCGGCUCACUGGCCCGGUACUGACGCUGAGGUGCGAAAGCGUGGGGAGCAAACAGGAUUAGAUACCCUAGU
rnacentral:rRNA from 1 species